rnacentral:rRNA from 1 species
UACGUAGGGUGCGAGCGUUAAUCGGAAUUACUGGGCGUAAAGCGUGCGCAGGCGGUGCUGUAAGACAGUUGUGAAAUCCCCGGGCUCAACCUGGGAACUGCAUCUGUGACUGCAUCGCUGGAGUGCGGCAGAGGGGGAUGGAAUUCCGCGUGUAGCAGUGAAAUGCGUAGAUAUGCGGAGGAACACCGAUGGCGAAGGCAAUCCCCUGGGCCUGCACUGACGCUCAUGCACGAAAGCGUGGGGAGCAAACAGG